rnacentral:lncRNA from 1 species
ACUACCGUUUACUGCAAGGGAGCCAGCGCAGCAUCCUCUCAGCUUUGCUUGGCCUCAGCAGUGAGUUGAAGCUCGGCUUGGCCAGCCUGGGAGAGCAGGGACGGCAGGGCCUGUGGAUGGGACGCAUCACAGGAAAUGAAGACAUUGCCAGGACCUCCCAGCCGAGAAAAUAUGAACAAGAUGCCUCGUGCCGCUGAUGAACUCCCCGCUCUUAGGGCCUCGAGGGAAGGCAGGAAGAUGGGCCGCUAGCCCGGGCACUCCCAUGCUUGUUCUCAGCUGCGCUUCACCCCCGGAGUGUGGGAAGUCCCUGGCUGCCGUGGUCAGAAAUUGCCAUAACAUGCCCUGGCUCCCGUGGUCAGAAAUUGCCCAUUCAAUAGGCAGAGAGGCAUGGGAGCGAUAUGGAAAGGGCUCUGGGUUCCAGCCCAGCUGCGCAGUCAACCAUGAGACCUGGGGUGUCUGUUCACCUUUCUGGGCCUUGGUUUUGUUGCCUAUGCAAUGAGAUUGUUGGGCUUCUGGACUCCCCACGUGUCUUCCAUCUAAUUCUAAUUUCUGAGGAAGGAAAUGGAAAAGUUUACCAAUAUGAUGAGAAUCUUAUAGCCCAACAACUGAGAUCUCGAAUCCAACAGGACCGCUUCUUCCGAAGACAGUAAAAGGCCCACAGACAUCAGUGAGAAGUCUCUUCAAAACCAUUCUGGAGUUUCCCUCAGGCUCCAGGGCGAGGUGAAAACUGAUGGAAAGUUCAGACUGAGAAGGCAGUACAGCAUCUCCUCCAGCCCUACUGCCAGAGAACCUGUCCUAAAGUGUGGAUAACAGAUGCCCUUGAUGGCGCCUGGCACUCCUUCAUCAGCCCCAAUCUUAGGCCAAGGUGGACAGAGGAUAACUCCGCAAAGCAUAAUUCUGCAGAAGAUAACUGACAGCCACGACAGCUACUAGCAUCUGGGAGCAUGCACUAUUACCUGGGAAGGACAUCCUUUUUGACAGAGGGACACAGGAUUAACAUGAGAGACGUAUCGGUUAUCCAUCAUGUAACCACUUACUACAAACACAAAAGUUUUUUCUGUUGUUUUGUUUUUGAGACAGAGUUUCACUCUUGUUGCCCAGGCUGGAGUGCAAUGGCGUGAUCUUGGCUCACUGCAACCUCCACCUCCCAGGUUCAAGCGAUUCUCCCAUCUCAGCCUCCUGAGUAGCUGGAAUUACAGGCGUGCGCCACCAUGCCCGGCUAAUUCUGUAUUUUUAGUAGAGACGGGGUUUUGCCUUGUUGGCCAGGCUGAUCUUGAACUCCUGACCUCAGGUGAUCAGCGCCCCUCGGCCUCCCAAAGUGCUGGGAUUACAGGCAUGAGACACCGUGCCCAGCAAACACAGAAGUUUAAAGCAGCAUACGCUUAUAAUCUCAUGGGUUCUCUGAGUCACGAAUUUAGAUACAGCUUUGUUAGGGUCCUCUGGUUCAGGAUUUCUCAUAAGGCUGUGAUCAAGUUGCUGGCCAGGACCGGAGUCUCAUCUGAGGUUCAAAUGGAGGAGGAUUCACUUCUACAGAGAACUGAUGGUGGGACUCAGUUCCUUGAGGUCGGUCAGACAGCAGCAGCCCUCUGUUCCUUGCCAUGUGGGCCUCUCCGAUAUGACCACCUGCUUUGUGAAAGUGUGCAAAGCUCAAGGGCAACAGAGAGGGCCUGCUAGCAAGAGGGAAGUCACAAUCUUAUGUCACACAAGCAGAAAUGUGACAGCCUAUCAUCUUUGUCGUAUUGCAUUUGUUAGAAGUUAGGUCACAAGUCCCACCCACACUCGAGGGGCAGGGACUACACAGGCUGUGGAUACAAGGAGAUGGGGACCAUUGGGAGUCAUCUUAGAGGCUGCCUGCCAGAGAGGAGGCAGAAAGAGGCCACCCACUGAGCCUUGAGCAGAAUCAGCCCUGGAAAGCAACGCAGGGACAAGUGUCCCAGCCAGACCAGCUUUCAUCCAAAAGGUUAUGUGUCCUGCAGGUUAGAACCAGAGGAGCGGCAUCUCAGGAUGAGAUGAUGCCACACUGCACACGCUGACAGCCUGGGAGAAUAGUGUCAGAAGAGGGAACCGGUGGCAGGGUGUGUAGUGGUGAUUGUGUGCUGGCCGUGUGUGUUCUCAAAAGAAAGGAAAGGACCUGGUCACCAUUUGAGGGUUAUGAUAUAAAUUGGGGAAGGGAUGAUCAGCCCACCCUUCACUCCCCUGCCAAGUCACUAUAUGCCUUUUUCAGGAAAGACCCACCCUGCCAUCCCCUAGCCAGGAAUCAGCCCCACCUAUAUCCACUGUAGUGUUGAGAUAUGGAAUUGUCCAGUGGGGUAGAGGUAGGGAACUCCAGGCAUAAUCGGAAUUCAAUGUGUCCUUCAGAGAUGUCCUUGUUCUUUGCCUCCUCUGAGCUCCCCCUCCUCAGGCAGCUUCAAUGACAAAGCUGUAAAGCACUCUCCCUCUCCUCCUCUUUUUAAAACACAAUUUUUAUUUUUAAAUAUACUAUAUCUGUUAAGGAGAGGGGGCAAAGUUUUCUGUCUUUGUAAUACCCAUUCAGGAGUUUAAUGGGUUAGGAGAUUGGUUUUAACUGUGAGAAAUCAUCUACCUCUUGUGCUCAAGUGAUCCUCCCGCCUCAGCCUCCCGAGUAGCUGAGACUACAGGCACAUGCCACCACACCCCGGUAAUUUUUUAAUUUUUUGUAGAGAUGGGGUCUCCCUUUGUUGCCCAGGCAGGUCUUGAACUUCCGGGCUCAAGCGAUCCUCCUGCUUCGGCCUCCCUAAGUGCUGGGAUGACAGGUGCGAGCCACCGUGUCUGGCCUACUAAGCAUUUCUGAAGGCUAUAGUUUAACAUUUGGUUUCAAAAAGAAAGGAAGCUUUCAUUUAAAAAAUAAUUUACUGAAUUACAUUCUUUCAUAACUUCCACCCUAAUUAGUCACAAAGAUAAUUCUAAAGAUUCUUUGUUUUGUGUACUAACAUUUUUCUUUUUUGAGUCAGGGUGGCACUCUGUUGCCCAGGUUAAAGGAUGGUAGUGCAGUCAUGGCUCACUGCAGCCUCAACCUCCUGGACUCAAGCAAUCCUCCCACCUCAGCCUCCCAAGUAGCCGGGACUACUGGCACAUGCCACCAUGCCUGACUAAUUUUUUGCAGAAAUGGGGUCUCCCUAUGUUGUCCAGGCUAAUCUCAAACUCCUGAGCUCAAGUAAUCCUAGCACUUUGGGAGGCCAAGGCGGGCAGAUUACUUGAACCCAUGAGUUCGAGACCAGCCUGGGCAACAUGGUGAAACCUUCUGUCUACAAAAAUACAGAAAACUAGCUAGAUGUGGUGGCACAUACCUGUAGUCUCAGCUACUUGGGAAACUGAGGUGGAAGGAUCACCUGAGUCUGGGAGGUCAAGGCUGCAGUGAGCUGAGAUUGCACCAUUGCACUCCAGCCUGGGCGACAGAGUGAGACCUUGUCUCAAAAAAAAAAAAGACAUCACUCAUAUAAGAUUUAGAAAAAUCAGAGUGACCUCAGGCCAAGGCACCACCCAGUGUGGUGAGAAUGACAUUCGAUAAUGGAGAGAGAGUGUGUGUAUGUAUGUGUACAUACGUGUGUAUGUUAUGUACAGAUAUCUCUCUGUAUAAAUAGCCAUGUUCAGCCCCUUAAAAGCCUGUAAAUAUGAUGUUGUGCUCCAUAUUCACUAUUUGAAACUUCAAAUACACAGGCCAUGCAGAGGAGAGUUUCUUGUGUAUCCCUGUUUGUCACCACCAAUAAAAUUGUGAAGUUUUCC